GACGAACGCUGGCGGCGUGCCUAAUACAUGCAAGUAGAACGCUGAAGAGAGGAGCUUGCUCUUCUUGGAUGAGUUGCGAACGGGUGAGUAACGCGUAGGUAACCUGCCUUGUAGCGGGGGAUAACUAUUGGAAACGAUAGCUAAUACCGCAUAACAAUGGAUGACACAUGUCAUUUAUUUGAAAGGGGCAAUUGCUCCACUACAAGAUGGACCUGCGUUGUAUUAGCUAGUAGGUGAGGUAACGGCUCACCUAGGCGACGAUACAUAGCCGACCUGAGAGGGUGAGCGGCCACACUGGGACUGAGACACGGCCCAGACUCCUACGGGAGGCAGCAGUAGGGAAUCUUCGGGAAUGGGGGCAAUCCUGACCGAGCAACGCCGCGUGAGUGAAGAAGGUUUUCGGAUCGUAAAGCUCUGUUGUAAGUCAAGAACGAGUGUGAGAGUGGAAAGUUCACACUGUGACGGUAGCUUACCAGAAAGGGACGGCUAACUACGUG
rnacentral:rRNA from 1 species